rnacentral:rRNA from 1 species
GAUGAACGCUGGCAGCGUGCCUAAUACAUGCAAGUCGAGCGAAGCGGGGACGGGUGAGUAACACGUGGAUAACCUCCUAUAAGACUGGGAUAACUUCGGGAAACCGGAGCUCAACCGGAUACUUAAGGUUGGAUCCGCGCUGCAUUAGCUAGUUGGUAAGGUAACGGCUUACCAAGGCAACGAUGCAUAGCCGACCUGAGAGGGGGAUCGGCCACACGGGAACGGAGAAACGGUCCAGACUCCUACGGGAGGAAGCAGUAGGGAAUCUUCCGCAAUGGGCGAAAGCCUGACGGAGCAACGCCGCGUGAGUGAUGAAGGUUUUCGGAUCGUAAAACUCUGUUAUUAGGGAAGCGGUACCGAAUCAGAAAGCCACGGCUAACUACGUGCCAGCAGCCGCGGUAAUUC